UUCUUUAUGAGGAGCCAGUAAGCUGCAGUAGAUGAACAGUUCCCUGUAGGAUCCCUGAGUCUUGGUGGUGAAGGUCCACUCCAGAGUGAUGCUGUGGUUCUCCUCUGCCUGAUAGCUGCUCUGUGUCACAUUCACUACAAAUGUUGCUGCUGAGGAGACAGAGAGGGAAAGAGAGGAGCAGACACACUGAGAACUGGAACAUGGGAGUCUUUCAGCUCCAUCUAGAGAGCUUUCUGUCACAAAGACAAGAUGGAGACUGACCACAGAGACAUGAGCUGAGGAUGAGGAGCAGCAGGAU